rnacentral:rRNA from 1 species
GACGAACGCUGGCGGCGUGCUUAACACAUGCAAGUCGUACGGUAAGGCCCUUUCGGGGGUACACGAGUGGCGCACGGGUGGGUAACACGUGAGUAACCUGCCCACAACUUUGGGAUAACGCUAGGAAACUGGUGCUAAUACUGGAUAUGUGCUCCUGCUGCAUGGUGGGGGUUGGAAAGCUCCGGCGGUUGUGGAUGGACUCGCGGCCUAUCAGCUUGUUGGUGGGGUAGUGGCCUACCAAGGCGGCGACGGGUAGCCGGCCUGAGAGGGUGACCGGCCACAUUGGGACUGAGAUACGGCCCAGACUCCUACGGGAGGCAGCAGUGGGGAAUAUUGCACAAUGGGCGCAAGCCUGAUGCAGCAACGCCGCGUGCGGGAUGACGGCCUUCGGGUUGUAAACCGCUUUCAGCAGGGACGAAGCUUUUUGUGACGGUACCUGCAGAAGAAGCACCGGCUAACUACGUG